ACAGUUCCCCCAGGAGAUAUAAGGAGGCCCCAUGCUACUGUUCAUACCUUUCAUACCUAACAGUAGUGCUAAUGGACCCCAAGCAUGGAUCAGAGCACUAUUGUGCUAGGUGCUGUACAAGCAGGUAACAAUAAGAUUGUCCCUCCCACAAGGUGCUUACAAUUGAAGUAUGAGUCGAGAGACAACACAUGGAUAUGACAAAUGGAUGGAGGAGCACAAGAAUAUGUCAGGACUUGAACUGAUGCCAUCACAGCCCUAGCUCCUCCAAUUCUGUGCCUACGACCUACAGUCACCAUGGCUUUUGGAAGGGACCACUGGUUGAGACUCCAGCCCUCUUGAAGCCAGGUGCAGCUGUGGAAAUCAGUCACUUCAAUCAAAAGCCUCUGUCAGCUUCCACAGCACUGUCAUUUUUUACAUUUGGAUAUUGCUGAAAUCCCGAAAUAGACAAUUCUCUGAAUGUCUUUACAUCUAUUCUACCUUUGGGUGGUGCUUUUGAGCAGUGCUGCACUGUGGUUCCUGUGCUAAGAAAUUUAACAGCAUUAAUAUUUUUACACUUUAUACUAACAUAACAUUUCUUUUGUGAUAGUAUGGAGUCAAAAUUGCUCUGUGUAUUUUAACACACAUUGCAACA